rnacentral:misc_RNA from 1 species
AUUAAAAGUAAACUAUAGAAAACUCAGGCAUUUUUUAUUAUUACGAAUUAGGUAGCAAUCAACAGCAACGGUUCUUCUUGUUCUUGCGAGCCGUGGCUGUUGGCGACUAUCACCCAACGACUCCCUCUCUUGUGCCGCCAUGAAUGAACCUCCAUUGUAUCCGCCAAUUGAUCCAACGACCUUCGACCUUAUUGUCGUCGGAACCGGCCUACCAGAGUCCGUGAUCGCCGCCGCAGCCUCAGCUUCCGGAAAAUCCGUACUUCACAUCGACCAAAACAACUUCUAUGGAUCCCACUUCGCCUCUCUCACUAUCCCACAACUCACCUCUUUCCUCAAUGCCAAUUCUACUUCUCUACCGCCGCCGUCCUCCUCGAACACCGUAACCAGCAGCGACGAUUUCUCCGUCGAAAAUCUUACCACCCGGCCUCUCUAUUCAGACGUCGAGAUUUCCUCAUUUUCCAAUCAACUUUUGGAAGAAAACUCUAAUAAGUUCUAUCUCGAUUUAUCGGGACCUAGGGUUUUAUUUUGUGCGGAUAGGUCCAUCGAUUUUUUGAUAAAGUCUGGAGCAAGUCAGUACGUGGAAUUCAAGAGCAUAGAUGCGAGCUUCUUGGGCGAUGAGAAUGGGAAGCUGUGGAAUGUGCCGGAUUCUAGGGCUGCUAUAUUUAAAGACAAGAGCUUGAGCUUGAUGGAGAAGAAUCGGUUGAUGAGGUUCUUUAAGCUGGUGCAGGGACAAUUGGCUGCUUCUUCUGGCGGAGAUCGAGUAAAUGAGAAUAAAGAAGAAGAACAAGAAUCAGAGAGUCCGGGAAUUUCAGAGGAAGAUUUGGAGCGUCCAUUUGUUGAGUUCAUGACUAAAAUGAAGUUGCCUUCCAAGAUUAAAUCGUACAGACUGCUGUCAUCUUUAUCUAUCUGAUAGUGAGAGUUAUUUUUAUAGCUGUUGCCAUUUUUAUAUUCUUCUAUAUCCUAAUCCUCAAUGAAUUUUAGUGAAAUUGCGGCUUUUCUUAUGUCCAAACUAAAAUUUUUGGGUUUGUUUAUCGAAUUCCCUAUUUGAUGAGAAUUACUAAUGCAAUCCUACUUUCUCCGUCUUUGUCUGCAACAGAUUCUUUCAACUAGCUAUUAACAAUCAGAAAAGAUGCUGAAGAAUGUCUUUACUUUUUAACAUUUACUGGAUGAGGUCUUUCUAUUUGUUUUUGGUGAUCCAUUGUCCUUCUACUCUUGAUGAACAUGUGUUCAAAAUAUUAUUGGGAUUGCUCUGUUUCUCGUAGAUUAGCUGUUAGCUAUUUGUACAAUUCAGUCUGGUGAUUCAUAUUUUAUCCAUCUUGCUCUCUGCAGGAUUAUCCUGUAUGCUAUAGCCAUGGCAGAUUUUGACCAGGACAACAAAGAGGAAUGUAAAGAUCUACUCAAGACAAAAGAUGGAAUAGCUCGCUUGGCUUUGUAUCAAUCGUCAAUUGGCAGGUUGACAAAUGCGCCUGGGGCUUUUAUUUAUCCUAUUUAUGGUCAAGGGGAACUGCCACAAGCCUUUUGUCGUCGUGCUGCAGUGAAAGGCUGUAUUUAUGUUUUGCGAAUGCCAGUGACUUCUUUGCUUUUGGAAAAGGUGCUGAAAUAUGCUAAUGGUUGCUUAACAAAUGGAUAAUAUUGAAUUAGUGUAGCUACUUUUAAGAUAUAAAUCUCUUUGCUUCAAAAUUUUUCAGAGUAGUGGCGUGUACAAAGGUAUAAGAUUGGCUUCUGGUCAGGACAUAUUUAGUCAGAAGCUAGUUCUGGAUCCAUCCUUAACAGUUCCAUCACCCUCAGCUUCUCCAUUGGAUUCUUUCCAUGAAAGUUUUCAAUUUCUAUGCAUGAGAGAUGUUAAACAGAAGGUGGCUAGGGGAAUAUGCAUUAUGAGAAGUUCCUUGAAGCCAGACAUAUCAAAUUUCCUGGUUGUAUAUCCUCCUCAAUGUAAGAUUAAUUUCUAGUUUUGCUCUUGUAGUUUGGUGCAGUUUUGAAUAAAAGAAAUAUCUUCUCUUUUUUAAUUGUUCUCUUUCUUAGCAUUGUAUCCUGAGCAGAUUACAUCAAUUCGAGCUCUCCAGAUUAGUGGCAAUUCAGCUGUUUGUCCGCGGGGCAUGUUUGUGCUGUAUCUGUCGGCUUUGUCUGAUGAUGCUCAUCAGGGGAAGAAGUCACUAAAUGCAGCUAUGAAUGCCCUUUUCACUUGUCCUGAUUCUGUGAAUCUUGAAAGUAGUUGUGCAGAUCAAAAUGAAAAUGCAGAACUAAAACCCACUCUACUUUGGAGCGCAUUGUAUAUUCAGGAGCUUGCAACGGUUUGCUUCUUGACUUUUAUUGGCUUAUAUUUUCCUUGGUGUUUAUUGAGCAUGAUAGUCAUAGAUAUAAUUUUCUAUGGGGUGAAGCUUAAUGGUUACUAGGAUUCUGAUAUACCUAAGUGUCUGUUAAGUGUUUGUUGGGUAGCAUACUUGUCAGGAUUACAGUUGCUAGUUAGUUGGAAAUUGUUGUUUCUUCUUUACUUGUGUAUUUGGAACUUGUCAAAGCAACAUCAACAACUUGUCUAACAGAGCUGAAUGGCGAAAAUGAUCCAUAUAACUGACUCCAAAUAAUUUGGGAUUAAGUAUUAGUAGUUGUCAGUUGGACUGAUGUAAUUGGACUUCUGGUUAUGCAACUUGCUGGUUCCUAGUUUUAUCCUCCUAGGAUCUGCAAUAUAAUUUGAUAACCUAGAAUUGUCAUUAUUUAUGAUGCACUUAUUUUUACCAUUUUCUUCACCUUUUGCAAUGUGCUCUACAUGGUUGGAGCUCUCAGUAUUUUUGGGGUAGGGGGAGAGUGUUGGACUGACUAAUGCCUCAUUUUUUUCAGUGCCUCUAGUAAUUCUGGGGAUUCAUAUACUGAUUUGUAUUAAUUAUUAGUUGAUCUUUUACUACCUUUACAAAAUUAUUUUGGGGCCAACACGACAGCAGAACUUGUAAAUUGCGCAAGAGAAACUACUUGUCUGAGUGUGUUAUAUAUAUAUAUAAACUUUGCUAAAGUCCAAGAAGACUUUAUAGAUAUGGAUGCAUUGAAACUGAUAUGGGUUUGACUUAGAUCGAUCUUGCUAUAUUUUA